AGCGAACGCUGGCGGCAGGCUUAACGCAUGCAAGUCGAACGGGCAUAGCAAUAUGUCAGUGGCAGACGGGUGAGUAACGCGUGGGAACGUACCUUUUGGUUCGGAACAACACAGGGAAACUUGUGCUAAUACCGGAUAAGCCCUUACGGGGAAAGAUUUAUCGCCGAAAGAUCGGCCCGCGUCUGAUUAGCUUGUUGGUAGGGUAAUGGCCUACCAAGGCGACGAUCAGUAGCUGGUCUGAGAGGAUGUUCAACCACAUUGGUACUGAGACACGGCCCGAACUCCUACGGGAGGCAGCAGUGGGGAAUAUUGGACAAUGGGCGAAAGGCUGAUGCAGCCAUGCCGCGUGAGUGAUGAAGGCCGUAGGGUUGUAAAGCUCUUUUGUGCGGGAAGAUAAUGACGGUACCGAAAGAAUAAGCCCCGGCUAACUUCGUG
rnacentral:rRNA from 1 species